CUCCGCCCUCCACCACAGUGGCAGCUACGACCAAAGCCUCUCCACAGUGUUCUUACAAUGUCACAAACAACAACACGUCUGGCUUGCAGAUUGAAAUAAACCCCCGUGGUAACUACACACUGACUGUUUCUGAAGAAGGCCGACCACAGACUGGAAAGAUAAUCCAAGCUGAUCAGUUGAAUCAAAUCCCAGUGGGGAAAACUGGACACCUGAAGCCGUGCACUGAUUACAGUCUUAAUGUUUCAU